rnacentral:rRNA from 1 species
GGUCAAGUGAAGAAGCGCAUACGGUGGAUGCCUUGGCAGUCAGAGGCGAUGAAAGACGUGGUAGCCUGCGAAAAGCUUCGGGGAGUCGGCAAACAGACUGUGAUCCGGAGAUGUCUGAAUGGGGGAACCCAGCCAUCAUAAGAUGGUUAUCUUGUACUGAAUACAUAGGUGCAAGAGGCGAACCAGGGGAACUGAAACAUCUAAGUACCCUGAGGAAAAGAAAUCAACCGAGAUUCCCUUAGUAGUGGCGAGCGAACGGGGACUAGCCCUUAAGUGGCUUUGAGAUUAGCGGAACGCUCUGGAAAGGGCGGCCAUAGUGGGUGAUAGCCCUGUACGCGAAAAUCUCUUGUCAUGAAAUCGAGUAGGACGGAGCACGAGAAACUUUGUCUGAAUAUGGGGGGACCAUCCUCCAAGGCUAAAUACUACUGACUGACCGAUAGUGAACUAGUACCGUGAGGGAAAGGCGAAAAGAACCCCGGAGAGGGGAGUGAAAUAGAUCCUGAAACCGUAUGCGUACAAGCAGUGGGAGCCCACUUUGUUGGGUGACUGCGUACCUUUUGUAUAAUGGGUCAGCGACUUAUUUUCAGUGGCGAGCUUAACCGAAUAGGGGAGGCGUAGCGAAAGCGAGUCUUAAUAGGGCGUCUAGUCGCUGGGAAUAGACCCGAAACCGGGCGAUCUAUCCAUGGGCAGGUUGAAGGUUGGGUAACACUAACUGGAGGACCGAACCGACUACCGUUGAAAAGUUAGCGGAUGACCUGUGGAUCGGAGUGAAAGGCUAAUCAAGCUCGGAGAUAGCUGGUUCUCCUCGAAAGCUAUUUAGGUAGCGCCUCAUGUAUCACUGUAGGGGGUAGAGCACUGUUUCGGCUAGGGGGUCAUCCCGACUUACCAAACCGAUGCAAACUCCGAAUACCUACAAGUGCCGAGCAUGGGAGACACACGGCGGGUGCUAACGUCCGUCGUGAAAAGGGAAACAACCCAGACCGUCAGCUAAGGUCCCAAAGUUAUGGUUAAGUGGGAAACGAUGUGGGAAGGCUUAGACAGCUAGGAGGUUGGCUUAGAAGCAGCCACCCUUUAAAGAAAGCGUAAUAGCUCACUAGUCGAGUCGGCCUGCGCGGAAGAUGUAACGGGGCUCAAACCAUACACCGAAGCUACGGGUAUCACUUAGGUGAUGCGGUAGAGGAGCGUUCUGUAAGCCUGUGAAGGUGAGUUGAGAAGCUUGCUGGAGGUAUCAGAAGUGCGAAUGCUGACAUGAGUAACGACAAUGGGUGUGAAAAACACCCACGCCGAAAGACCAAGGUUUCCUGCGCAACGUUAAUCGACGCAGGGUUAGUCGGUCCCUAAGGCGAGGCUGAAAAGCGUAGUCGAUGGAAAACAGGUUAAUAUUCCUGUACUUCUGGUUAUUGCGAUGGAGGGACGGAGAAGGCUAGGCCAGCUUGGCGUUGGUUGUCCAAGUUUAAGGUGGUAGGCUGGAAUCUUAGGUAAAUCCGGGAUUCUAAGGCCGAGAGCUGAUGACGAGUUACCCUUUGGGUGACGAAGUGGUUGAUGCCAUGCUUCCAAGAAAAGCUUCUAAGCUUCAGGUAACCAGGAACCGUACCCCAAACCGACACAGGUGGUUGGGUAGAGAAUACCAAGGCGCUUGAGAGAACUCGGGUGAAGGAACUAGGCAAAAUGGCACCGUAACUUCGGGAGAAGGUGCGCCGGUGAGGGUGAAGCACUUGCUGCGUAAGCCCACGCCGGUCGAAGAUACCAGGCCGCUGCGACUGUUUAUUAAAAACACAGCACUCUGCAAACACGAAAGUGGACGUAUAGGGUGUGACGCCUGCCCGGUGCCGGAAGGUUAAUUGAUGGGGUUAGCUAACGCGAAGCUCUUGAUCGAAGCCCCGGUAAACGGCGGCCGUAACUAUAACGGUCCUAAGGUAGCGAAAUUCCUUGUCGGGUAAGUUCCGACCUGCACGAAUGGCGUAACGAUGGCGGCGCUGUCUCCACCCGAGACUCAGUGAAAUUGAAAUCGCUGUGAAGAUGCAGUGUAUCCGCGGCUAGACGGAAAGACCCCGUGAACCUUUACUAUAGCUUUGCACUGGACUUUGAAUUUGCUUGUGUAGGAUAGGUGGGAGGCUUUGAAGCGUGGACGCCAGUUCGCGUGGAGCCAACCUUGAAAUACCACCCUGGCAACUUUGAGGUUCUAACUCAGGUCCGUUAUCCGGAUCGAGGACAGUGUAUGGUGGGUAGUUUGACUGGGGCGGUCUCCUCCUAAAGAGUAACGGAGGAGUACGAAGGUGCGCUCAGACCGGUCGGAAAUCGGUCGUAGAGUAUAAAGGCAAAAGCGCGCUUGACUGCGAGACAGACACGUCGAGCAGGUACGAAAGUAGGUCUUAGUGAUCCGGUGGUUCUGUAUGGAAGGGCCAUCGCUCAACGGAUAAAAGGUACUCCGGGGAUAACAGGCUGAUACCGCCCAAGAGUUCAUAUCGACGGCGGUGUUUGGCACCUCGAUGUCGGCUCAUCACAUCCUGGGGCUGAAGCCGGUCCCAAGGGUAUGGCUGUUCGCCAUUUAAAGUGGUACGCGAGCUGGGUUUAGAACGUCGUGAGACAGUUCGGUCCCUAUCUGCCGUGGACGUUUGAGAUUUGAGAGGGGCUGCUCCUAGUACGAGAGGACCGGAGUGGACGAACCUCUGGUGUUCCGGUUGUCACGCCAGUGGCAUUGCCGGGUAGCUAUGUUCGGAAAAGAUAACCGCUGAAAGCAUCUAAGCGGGAAACUUGCCUCAAGAUGAGAUCUCACUGGGACCUUGAGUCCCCUGAAGGGCCGUCGAAGACUACGACGUUGAUAGGUGGGGUGUGUAAGCGCUGUGAGGCGUUGAGCUAACCCAUACUAAUUGCCCGUGAGGCUUGACCAU